GAUGAACGCUGGCGGCGUGCCUAAUACAUGCAAGUCGAGCGAACAGACGAGGAGCUUGCUCCUCUGACGUUAGCGGCGGACGGGUGAGUAACACGUGGAUAACCUACCUAUAAGACUGGGAUAACUUCGGGAAACCGGAGCUAAUACCGGAUAAUAUAUUGAACCGCAUGGUUCAAUAGUGAAAGACGGUUUUGCUGUCACUUAUAGAUGGAUCCGCGCCGCAUUAGCUAGUUGGUAAGGUAACGGCUUACCAAGGCAACGAUGCGUAGCCGACCUGAGAGGGUGAUCGGCCACACCGGAACUGAGACACGGUCCAGACUCCUACGGGAGGCAGCAGUAGGGAAUCUUCCGCAAUGGGCGAAAGCCUGACGGAGCAACGCCGCGUGAGUGAUGAAGGUCUUCGGAUCGUAAAACUCUGUUAUUAGGGAAGAACAAAUGUGUAAGUAACUAUGCACGUCUUGACGGUACCUAAUCAGAAAGCCACGGCUAACUACGU
rnacentral:rRNA from 1 species